ensembl:lncRNA
GGGAAUCACCAGAGAUAGUCUAGAAUCUGAAGAUACUGAGGACCUCAAGAGCCACUGGGUGGAGGCUGUGGGGCCAGAGGAGCUCCCAAACUAUAGAGGAAAAACAGCCAAGGAGCGUCAGACAUGCAGCUACAUUCACUAUUGUCCACUACUCUCUAUAUCCUGGAAUGCAGAUAUUGGCUCGCCCUCUCACUUCCUGUCUCACCCACCUUCUGAAACCUGAACACUCCAAACAAGCCAAACCCCUGGUGAAAGUGAAGUCGCUUGGUUGUGUCCGACUCUUUGCGACCCCAUGGAACCCACCAGGCUCCUCCAUCCGUAGGAUGUUCCAGGCAAGAAUACUGGAGAGAUACUUUUGCAAAUUGGAGCAAGGUGCUCAGAGAAGUUAGACUCCUAGACUCCUACAG